UGAAGCAGACUUGGUAUAACUGACUUUUGUUGUUCUUGAUGCAUUCUUCUCUUUUUAAAUCGGCCCCUUUUCAGAUUGUGUGUAGCCAUAAACGGCUUUUCUUGUUACAGGGGUAGCGAGCAAAACACCAGCGUUCAGCGAGCAGCUUGAACGGUGGCACGCUGAAGUAAGAGCACUGGCUUUUGGAAAAACCUGCGGACUACCGGGCGAGCAAAGAGAGAGAGACAGCCUACCGCUGUGUCGGUCGAGCAGAGAGCGGGAUCUCCGGCGGCUGAAGAGUGGUUCUUGAAUCGGCCAGAUACUGUUCCAUCCUCUUUUCUGCCAAUCAAGCAAAGAUGAGGACAACACCCAAACUGGCACGAUAACAGCGCCGUAUAAGAAGAGGACCCAAUUGUUCCAAAAGGCCUUGAUUUUGCUCCGCCGCGGUCCGCGCGGAGGCUGCGGCAGCUGUGGACAGCAACAGGUGAGAAAAGGUGAGAGGAACCUGCUGACAUCCAUAUGACCAAGACGAGACCUGUCUGUCCAGGAGACAGAGACCACACCAGAUAUGGUAGGCAGGCAGGCCCGACACAGCACGGCGAGUGGCCCACACGGAGGGGAGUGCUGCUGUGUUGGGGGUAAGUCUUCAGACAGCCCAGAGCAGUGGGACUGGUCCAGAUGGUUACUCAGAGCUUUAGCAGCAGACCAGGACCAAACAAGAGAUCAUUCCACAGAACACCUACCCACUGGCUACCAUUUUAUCACAGGGGGCCCACUAUCUGGCAUGUGUUUUUGCAUGCACAAUCACUUUAUCGGGAUACCACUAUGCUUGAUGCAGGCUCAUGAAAUGACUAUAAUGACAAGAUGCUACAAGACGUACAGUAGCACAGACAGUGUUCCUCCAGUCAAGCCCUGGGCGCACUCCUCUACAGCUAACACAAUGUUUAUCCCUUUUUCUUUAUGUCAAUUACAGUGUCAGUGA
rnacentral:lncRNA from 13 species